rnacentral:rRNA from 1 species
UGCUGUCGACCGGCGCACGGGUGCGUAACGCAUAUACAAUCUGCCUUAUACAGAGGGAUAGCCUUUACAAAUGAAGAUUAAUACCUUAUAGUCUAUUUUUAUAGCAUUAUAUAAAUAGUAAAGCUUCGGUGGUAUAAGAUGAGUAUGCGUCCUAUUAGUUAGUUGGUAAGGUAACGGCUUACCAAGACAACGAUAGGUAGGGGCCCUGAGAGGGGGAUCCCCCACACUGGUACUGAGACACGGACCAGACUCCUACGGGAGGCAGCAGUGAGGAAUAUUGGACAAUGGAGGCAACUCUGAUCCAGCCAUGCCGCGUGCAGGAUGACGGCCCUAUGGGUUGUAAACUGCUUUUAUAUAGGAAGAAACCUUUUCACGUGUGAGAAGCUGACGGUACUAUAAGAAUAAGGACCGG